rnacentral:lncRNA from 1 species
AGCAGCUGGUGGAAGCUCUCUGAAGAACUGAGACAGGAGGUGGCACUGCUCUGACACCAUCCUUUGAAGGUGACAGAGCAUCUCAGGGCUUGGGGGACGCCAGCCGGACUUUGAGAGGAGACAGAAGAGGUGCUUGCAGAGGCCACGAGGUCAUCACUCUCUCCCAACAGCCAUCCCAGCAGGAUGGGCAGUCCAGGGGCCAACUGGUCCCACUGCUGGAGCAGAUCACACAGGACGGCCAGGGCCAGGGCCAGAGCGAUGGAGGCAUCCACCUGGCAGAAGGCAAACUCUGCAAAGACAGGAGAAAGUGUCACCAGAAGGAUCAGGAAGGCUUCCCUGUCCAGUGUCUCCUCUGCACAUCUGCCUGGAUUUGACUGGUUUGCCCUUUCCUUGGAAAGCAGAUCUCUUGGGCACAAGACACAUCCUAGAGCAGGGCAUCGGCAAGCUUUUCCUUAAAGGGCCAGAGAGUCAAUAUUUUAGACUUUGCAAGCCUAUACCUCCUCACCUCGGCUGAAAGCAGCCAUGGACAAUCUGUAAACAAAUGGUUGUGGCUGUGUUCCAAUAAAACUUUAUUUAUGGACACUGAAAUUUGAAUUUAAUGUGUCACAAAAUAUUAUUUUUUCCCAACCAAUUAAAAAUGUAAAAACCAUUGAUAGCUCAUGGGCUGUAAAAAGCAGGUGGUAGGCUGCAUUUGGCUCCUAUUUUGCUGCCCUCUGUCUCGGAGUUUUUUGUUUUUGGACCCUUGUUUUCCUGGGUGCUUGGAGGAAGGGCACUGAAAGAAUAGAAGGGUGCAGAAAGAGGAAGCAGGGGGCCUUGGGGAAACCAUUGCUUAUUUCAACAUUUGGCCUUAGACAAUCCUAAAUAUGGGUUUGGAGGGAGGCUCAGGGGUGUUGUCACUUCCCCUAACAACUCUGCCCCUCCCAUCCCAAACCUGGAGGGUGUCUGAAACACGGGACUGAAAGCCCACUGCACAAUGGACCUCUGUAGGCCCAUCUUGCACCAACUGACAUUGAAAGGCCUGUCUUUCAAUGAUGCAUUUCUAUUGAGCCCUGAUCACUCCCAAAUCCACAUCUCUAACUUGAGCACACAGACUUACCCUGACCAUCUGGCCCCCGAAAGACUUACUCGGCACACAGGCAGACGACCGAGAAUCUGCAACAGCAGGCUUAGUUCCCGUGGGUGUUGAACCAGGCUUACUGGGAUGGCCCCACUGAGGGCCUAGUGAGUGCCAGGCCCUGAUCAAAUGCUGUCUCCCCAGUCCUUCUAGCAUCCUAUGGGUUGGGUAUUAUGUAACCCACUUGCACACAUCAAGAAAUUACAGUUGGCAACAAGUUUCAUGGUGCAUGCAAAGCGCAGAUUUGGAGACCCAGCAUCAACAAUCCAGAGGUUUUGAUGGUGGGGUCAGCAGGGGUAGUGACCCUGCAGUAGGGCCAGGACUAUUCAGAGGUCACACAGCAGCACCUAGUUGCAUGUAAGCAGGUGAAAGUACUGAUCUCACCAUCUUGAGAGCUCCAGAUAAGUCCCCCAGGACACUUGCCCUUUAGUGUCCCCGUUCCCCAUGCUGCUUGCUCUGCAGCCUAGAACCCAGAUUUAAACCAGGAAACAGAAAAGGGGAGGGGGUGAAGGUGCAUUUUGGCUGUGGGUCUGAGCCAUGUGUUGACUGGGCCUCUACCUACAAUACAAUCUCCAUUUUUACCUCUACCUAACUCCUUUCUGCAGUUCUCAAUUGGCUGAGAAUCUGUAUAGAGAAGGGAUAAUUAAGUGGCCUUUUUCUUUCUUUUUUCCCUUCAACUUUUAUUGAUUGAUUGAGACAGAGUCUGUUGCCCAGGCUGGAGUACAGUGGCGUGAUCUUGGCUCACUGCAACCUCCGCCUCCUGGGUUCAAGCAAUUCUCCUGCCUUAGCCCCCAAGUAGCUGGGACUAUAGGCAUGUGCCACCACACCCAGAUAAUUUUGUUUUU